CGCGUCCCCGCGCCGCCGGGCAGAGCUGCGGCUCCCUCCGCUCCCUUCGGGUAGCCCACCGAGGCCGGCAGCCCCGCGCCCGCAACGGGCAGAUCCCGGCCCGCAGGGACUCUCCAUCUUGCACGAAGAAGGGCGAUGACUGCGGUGUCUAGGGGACAGAAAGAAGGGUUAGGGAAUUCUGUGCCCCGGCAACCUUCUGGAGAGAUCUGGAAAGGCAGAGAUAACGAAAAUAUGUUUUCCUUUGGUCCUAAUUCCUGCCGACUCCAGAGAUCAAUUUAGAAAUUGAAACGCAACCUUUUGUACGUGAGGGGAAAAAAAGUGCAACACAUCAGAGACAGUGAAAAUCAAAACAUCCAGAGCAAGGCCAAGAGCUCAUGCAGCGCAGGCACGGAAAGGAAGCUGCACUGAGAUGAUCCAGAAAGUAACGCGCAGCUUUCCAAAGGACACAGCCAACUGCAGAUUGCCUUUGCUUGGAGGAUCUCAGCUACAGCAAGGUUCUGAAAGGAAAUUGUUCAGGAAGACAUCUGAAAACUGAAGCUUCCUCUGAUUGGUCUUCCCUGUCAGCUGGGAAAAUAGAGAUGUAUAGACAUAAAUAAGUCCAGCCAGUAACUCAAAAAUGACAUGGGUACAUUCACCACAAACACUUCUGAGACAGAAUGUCCACAAACUGGCAGACAAUCAGGCUAAAAUAAAUGGGCUGUUUCAUUA